UUCUUUCUUCUCCUGAGGACCGAAUGACUGGCGGAUCAAUCUGCUGCUUGGGGAUGGGCCUGCGGCGCAUUAGCUAGUUGGUGGGGUAACGGCCCACCAAGGCGACGAUGCGUAUCCGACCUGAGAGGGUGAACGGCCACACUGGGACUGAGACACGGCCCAUACUCCUACGGGAGGCAGCACUACGGAAUCUUCCGCAAUGGGCGAAAGCCUGACGGAGCUCGCCGCGUGAGUGAUGAAGGUUUUCGGAUCGAAAGCUCUGUUGCCAGGGAAUAACGUCCGGUACAAUACUGCUGCGGAGUGACGGUACCUGAGAAGAAGCCCCGGCUAAUACUUGCCAAAGGCGCGUAUACUAGGGGGUAAGGCGUGUUCGGAAUAAUGGGGUAAGCGCGCGCGGCGGUAUUUAAUCUGGGGUUAACCUUGGGUCACUGAGGUC
rnacentral:rRNA from 1 species